rnacentral:rRNA from 1 species
UACGGGGGGGGUAAGCGUUGUUCGGAAUUACUGGGCGUAAAGGGCUCGUAGGCGGCCAACUAAGUCGGACGUGAAAUCCCUCAGCUUAACUGGGGAACUGCGUCCGAUACUGGAUGGCUUGGAUUGGGAGAGGAUGCGGAAUUCCAGGUGUAGCGGUGAAAUGCGUAGAUAUCUGGAGGAACACCGGUGGCGAAGGCGGCAUCCUGGACCAAUAUUGACGCUGAGGAGCGAAAAGCUAGGGGAGCAAACGGGG